AGAGUUUGAUCCUAGCUCAGGAUGAACGCUGGCGGCGUGCUUUAACACAUUCAAGUCGAACGGAGUUCAAUCGGGAGCUUGCUCCCGGCUGAACUUAGUGGCGGACGGGUGAGUAAUGCAUGAGCAACCUGCCUUCAGGAGGGGGAUAACAUCGGGAAACCGGUGCUAAUACCGCAUAGAGCAUUUUGCAGGCAUCUGCGAGAUGGGAAAGGAGCAAUCCGCCUGGAGAUGGGCUCA
rnacentral:rRNA from 1 species